GAGAUGGCCCAGAUGUACAACUACAUUCGAAGUCUUUCUGUCCAAAUGGGUAAUCCCAUCCCAGCCAUGCAAUUCCCUGUGGCUCCUGCUUCUACUACUCCUCUGAAUCUAUCGGCGGCAUCGAAUACGCCAGAAUUGUCGCCGGGCGUACAAAACAUGUUGCCACCUCAGCUCAACGCCCCACCGCCGUUCGACGACCCACCUCAGCCAUGAACUUGUUAAUUUGUGCCUCUAUGGAUGUAAACUUGAUGAUGCUAGGAGGAUUUUCAAUAAGGAUUUGUGGAUUUGUAAACUUGUGAACUUAAUUUAUGCAUUGACUUGUGAAUU